GCUGGCGGCGCGUUUUAAGCAUGCAAGUCGAGCGGCAAGGGCCUUCGGGCCCCUAGUAGCGGCGGACGGGUGAGUAACACGUGGACAAUCUGCCCCCCGGCCGGGGAUAGCCCAGGGAAACCUGGAUUAAUACCGGAUGAGACGGGACGCACGAGGGUGCGAUCCGGGAAAGGCGCUGCGGCGCCGCCGGGGGAUGAGUCCGCGACCCAUUAGCUAGACGGCGGGGUAAAGGCCCACCGUGGCGACGAUGGGUAGCCGGCCUGAGAGGGUGGACGGCCACAUUGGAACUGAGACACGGUCCAGACUCCUACGGGAGGCAGCAGCUAAGAAUCUUCCGCAAUGGGCGAAAGCCUGACGGAGCGACGCCGCGUGAACGAAGAAGGCCGUGAGGUUGUAAAGUUCUUUUCGGGAGGGGGAAUGACCGUGGCAGGGAAUGGCCGCGGGAUGACGUGAAUCCCGGAAUAAGCCCCGGCUAACUACGUGCCAGCAGCCGCGGUAACACGUAGGGGGCGAGCGUUGUUCGGAAUCAUUGGGCGUAAAGGGCGUGCAGGCGGCACUGCAAGUCCGGCGUGAAAGACCCCGGCCCAACCGGGGGGGUGCGCUGGAAAACUGCGGUGCUUGAGUACAGGAGGGGAUGCCGGAAUUCCAGGUGUAGGGGUGAAAAUCUGUAGAUUUCUGGAAAAACACCGAUUGC
rnacentral:rRNA from 1 species